rnacentral:tmRNA from 1 species
GGGGGCGAACUUUGGAAUCGACAGGUGAACAUCAGAAACAAUGAUUGCUAUGCCGAAGGCUGCAUCGUUAAAGCGCAAAAACCAUAAGUGCAAACACGAAAGAAACUGUUGAGGCUACAUGCCUUGGCACACGCGCGGUUCGCCCUACGUUCCGUUUCGUGUCGAUUAAGGGAGCUUCCCGCAGCUUUGUAACGGGUUCGGAGUCGCUUUGCAGAUCGGCUACAAGAAAAACCACUGCAGCGUUGGCCUAACACGUAGAUAGGCACGGCUGUCAGUAGCCCAAACUGACUAUGCAUAGUAGACGUCGUCGUGGAACAGUCGCUUGGACGCGGGUUCGAAUCCCGCCGCCUCCAUUG